UGCAUGGCUGUCGUCAGCUCGUGUCGUGAGAUGUUGGGUUAAGUCCCGNAACGAGCGCAACCCUUUUCCUUAUUUGCCAGCGGGUCAUGCCGGGAACUUUAAGGAUACUGCCAGUGACAAACUGGAGGAAGGCGGGGACGACGUCAAGUCAUCAUGGCCCUUACGGCCAGGGCUACACACGUGCUACAAUGGUCGGUACAAAGGGUUGCUACCUCGCGAGAGGAUGCUAAUCUCAAAAAGCCGAUCGUAGUCCGGAUCGCAGUCUGCAACUCGACUGCGUGAAGUCGGAAUCGCUAGUAAUCGCGGAUCAGAAUGCCGCGGUGAAUACGUUCCCGGGCCUUGUACACACCGCCCGUCACACCAUGGGAGUUUGUUGCACCAGAAGUAGGUAGUCUAACCGCAAGGAGGACGCUUACCACGGUGUGGCCGAUGACUGGGGUGAAGUCGUAACAAGGUAGGCGUAGAUGA
rnacentral:rRNA from 1 species